rnacentral:rRNA from 1 species
UACGAAGGGUGCAAGCGUUACUCGGAAUUACUGGGCGUAAAGAGCUCGUAGGUGGUUUGUCGCGUUGUCCGUGAAAACUCACAACUCAAUUGUGGGCGUGCGGGCGAUACGGGCAGACUGGAGUACUGCAGGGGAGACUGGAAUUCCUGGUGUAGCGGUGGAAUGCGCAGAUAUCAGGAAGAACACCGACGGCGAAGGCAGCUCGCUGGGACGGUACUGACGCUGAGGCGCGAAAGCGUGGGGAGCGAACAGG